UCGGCGGAUGAGUUGUGGUUAGGGGUGAAAUGCCAAUCGAACUCGGAGCUAGCUGGAUCUCCCCGAAAUGCGUUGAGGCGCAGCGGUUAACGAUGGGCUGUCUAGGGGUAAAGCACUGUUUCGGUGCGGGCUGCGAGAGCGGUACCAAAUCGUAGCAAACUAAGAAUACUAGACACUGCUUUCCGUUAACCAGUGAGACGGUGGGGGAUAAGCUCCAUCGUCGAGAGGGAAACAGCCCAGAUCACCAGCUAAGGCCCCAAAAUGACCGCUAAGUGGCAAAGGAUGUGAGAAUGCUGAAACAACCAGAAGGUUUGCUUAGAAGCAGCCACCCUUUAAAGAGUGCGUAAUAGCUCACUGGUAGAGCGUUCUUGCGCCGAAAAUGAACGGGACUAAGCGGUCUGCCGAAGCUGUGGGUAAUAUCAUUUGAUUUGAUAUUACGGUAGGGGAGCGUUCCGCUCUAGGGUGAAGCUCCAACGUAAGUUGGUGUGGACAAAGCGGAAGUGAGAAUGUCGGCUUGAGUAACGAAAACAUUGGUGAGAAUCCAAUGCCCCGAAAACCUAAGGCUUCCUCCACUAGGCUCGUCCAUGGGGGGUUAGUCGGGACCUAAGGCCAGGCCGAAAGGCGUAGUCGAUGGAAAACAGGUUAAUAUUCCUGUACUGAUUUUGAAGUGGUACCGAGGGACGAAGGAGGGAACAGUUGGCCAAUAUUGGAUGUUGGCGGAAACGUUCAAGGUGAUGAGAGAUAGAAUAAAAACUAUUCUUGAGCUGAGGCGUGAUACGGUUUUAUUCAAUGUAUGAGAGCUUUGCUCAAAUUCAAAAUAAAACUCAAUUAGUUGUCAAACUUCCUAGAAAAGCUCGAACUUCCAAUACUUCAAAAUUACCCGUACCCGAAACCGACACAGGUAGGUAGGUAGAGUAUACCAAGGGGCGCGAGAUAACUCUCUCUAAGGAACUCGGCAAAAUGGCCCCGUAACUUCGGGAGAAGGGGCGCCCUCAAUUAAGAGGGCCGCAGUGACCAGGCCCAGGCGACUGUUUACCAAAAACACAGGUCUCCGCUAAGUCGUAAGACAAUAUAUGGGGGCCGACACCUGCCCAGUGCCGGAAGGUGAAGGAAGUUGGUUACUUGGACUUGUUCAAGAAAGCUGACAACCGAAGCCCCGGUGAACGGCGGCCGUAACUCUGACGGUCCUAAGGUAGCGAAAUUCCUUGUCAGGUAAGUUCUGACCCGCACGAAAGGUGUAACGAUCUGGGCACUGUCUCGGAGAGAGGCUCGGUGAAAUAGACAUGUCCGUGAAGAUGCGGACUACCUACACCUGGACAGAAAGACCCUAUGAAGCUUUACUGUAACCUGGAAUUGAAUUUGGGCUUUUCUUGCGCAGUCUAGGUGGGAGGCGUUGACAGUUCCCUUCCGGGGGGGCUUGAGCCAUCAGUGAGAGACCACUCUGGAGAAGCUAGAAUUCUAAUGGCGGUCCUUGAAUCAGGACGCUUGACAGUUUCAGGCGGGCAGUUUGACUGGGGCGGUCGUCUUCUAUAAAUUUAUUUUUUUCGUUACUGUAAAUUUAAAAGGAAUCAAGUAUCCAAUAUGACUUUAAAAAAAAAGUGCUGUAAAAAAAGUACUUUAAAAGUAACACUAUAUUGGUGCGGACAAUCAGCAGGGAAGUUUACAAAGAAGGGAUACCUUCUACCUUUUAGUUCGAAAAACUAAGAAUGUGUUUUGUAUAACCCCUCAACGACUACACGCUGAACUUCCAAGAAAAGAUACUGGUUAGUAUCGCUUUUGGAUGAUGAUAUAGUCUGAACUUAUAGGUGCUAUAAGCUUAGUUUAAUCUACAAGAGAUUAAAUUAGGUAAUCUAAUUGUAUUUUGUUUCAAAAAUGGAAAAAAAUAAGAAACUCACUCUAUUGCAAAAAGAGGUUUUGUUUGGUGUUAUUUUGGGAGAUGCUCAUUUAGAAACACAAAAUAACAGAAUAACAUAUCGUGUUAAAUUUGAACAAAGUAUUAAGCAUAAACCUUACAUUGAGCAUUUAUAUGAAAUUUUUAAAAAUUAUGUAAAAACCCCUCCUCAACUUAAACUUGUAAAGUAUAAAAACAACGAUACAAAAGAUAAAAAAAGUACCAAUAUUAGAUUUGCCACCAUUUCUAGUAGUACUUUUACAUUUUUUGGAAAACAGUUUUAUAAAGAAAAGAAAAAAGUUAUACCAAAACUUAUUCAUCGAUGGUUAACACCUCGAGCAUUAGCUUAUUGGUAUAUGGACGAUGGUUCAACAAAAUCAACUCAAAGUAAAGCAGUUUUACUUAAUACACAAGGUUUUUCACAUGCUGAAGUUUGUAUUCUUUGUAAUGUGUUAACUCAAAAAUUUAAUCUUUCUUGUUGGCCUCAUAAACAAAAACAAAAUACAUAUCAAAUUUUUAUUUCAGGUAAAAGCUUUGAAACUUUACACAAUUGUAUUUAUGGUUUUCUCAUUCCUGAGAUGCUAUAUAAGUUUCCAAAAAGACAAAGGGAAUAAAAAAAAGAUUAAACAUUUUUGCCUAAAAGGUAACGGAGAUGUGCAAAGGUUCCCUCAGGCUGGACGGAAAUCAGCCGAAGAGUGUAAAGGCAGAAGGGAGCUUGACUGCAAGACCUACAAGUCGAGCAGGGGCGAAAGCCGGCCUUAGUGAUCCGACGGUACCGAGUGGAAGGGCCGUCGCUCAACGGAUAAAAGUUACUCUAGGGAUAACAGGCUGAUCUUCCCCAAGAGUUCACAUCGACGGGAAGGUUUGGCACCUCCGAUGUCGGCUCAUCGCAACCUGGGGCGGUAGUACGUCCCAAGGGUUGGGCUGUUCGCCCAUGAAAGCGGUACGUGAGCUGGGUUCAGAACGUCGU
rnacentral:rRNA from 1 species